rnacentral:lncRNA from 1 species
UGGUUGUCUUGGUUUGAAAGACUGUGGAUAAGUGACGUAGUUCUUCAUUGCCUCUCCAGUUAACUCUGCCUUACCCACAGGCAGAUUUAAGACCAAGGCUGGCACACUGCCUGCAGGCUAUGUAUUGUCUGUGGCUUCCUAACAACAGAGCUCUAACAACAGAGCUGGUGGCUGCGGGGAAGACCACACAGACCCCGCAGCCUGCAGUGGUUCCCCUCUGGACCUUUCACGGACCCCUCCUGAGACUCCUUAGACAGUGGGUUGUGAGCAGGAGACCCACGGUAAAGAUGGUGAACAAUCCCUGCCUGCUUCCCUAUGGCAAGGCCCUCUACAGCUACGAGGGGAAGGAACCUGGCGACCUCAAGUUCAACAAGGGGGACAUCAUCGUCCUGCGGCGCAAGGUGGAUGAACAGUGGUACCAUGGCGAGCUGCACGGCACACAGGGCUUCCUCCCAGCCAGCUAUAUCCAGUGCAUCCAGCCCUUGCCACAUGCCCCGCCCCAGGGAAAAGCACUUUAUGAUUUCGAGAUGAAGGACAAAGACCAAGACAAGGACUGUCUGACCUUCACCAAGGUAAGGUGGGCUCUGGGGUGGGUCCCGCCAGCCCGUGCAGCCUCUGUCCACCCAGGGCUCUUCCCAGCCACAGGCCUGCAGCCAGCCAGUGUCUUUCCUCAGAUUCUGAAUCCUGGCUCCUCCCAGAACCCUGAGCAAAUGACCCAGCAGCCUCCCUCCCUGUGCCUCCAUGAAUGGGGUGGUGGUUUUUUUGAUUGAAUGCUAUGGAGGGCAGCAGCCUGAC